ACAGACAGCCCCCUAUGCAGAGCGUGCAUGGAGGCAGAAGAAACGGCCACACAUAUCCUGCUGGAAUGCGGUAGUGUGGCGAACUACAGGGCGAUACACCUCGGGACACCGAGGUCGCUCCGGGAAGUCGUCGGCAACGCAAGGGCCCCCAGCCUACCACGCAAAAUAGGCGCAUUAAGACGUCGAGUUGCGGAGAAUAGCCCGUGGAGAAUCAAUCAAUCAAUCAA
rnacentral:misc_RNA from 1 species